CAUGGCAAUGCUUCAGGUCACCACAUAUGAUGUGUGGCAGUAGAAGCCUUGGGACUGUAAGACCUGAGAAACCUCUGUCUUCUCUCCCUCCGCCCCUCCGUUUAGUUCUGCUCCUGGGCUGUUUAUCUUCACCGGGAACAUUCAGAACCCUGAGACAAUCCAGCUCUGUUGCCCUUGUGACAGUUGGAUGAUUAACAGACGUGUGUGUGAGAGCGUGAGUGUGUGUGGAACAUCACUGAGGGAGACGGCAGCAUCCUGUCUUGUAGACCAAUGUCUGGAGACCGAGGAUCUGUGGCUGGUUUAAGGGAACCAGUGGCACUUAGGGAGCAGAGAAGAGUUUUUGACUCGACAGAAGAUGCACAACGACCAAGUGCCAGAACACUCACCCACACCAGCUGUGAGGCGGAGAGGUGAUCAGUGAGAUAUGAACGAGAGGGACGGUUCAAUGGCCACGACAGAAAGGGGCCCGGUUUGGGAGUUUAGCCAGGACGCCGGCGAAGGACAUUGGAGAAGCAGGGGGACAGAGGAAGACCGGGGAAGAGGUGGGCCUUGGGUAAAGAGGGAGCAUGGGGCUGUGCAUCCUUGAUGAAAGUUUAGGAUCUGGAAAGUGUUGGGACAGAGAGACGAGAGCCUCCCAGCUCUGCUAACAGGGGCUCGGCCUCCAGAGGCACAGAGUAUGGGAGCCUCAGCUCUAACCCCGAUGAGGUCAUUGUACCAACAGCCAAACGUAAAACAAACGUGACCAGAGCUAGAGAAUAAACACGGAAGUCAAUAAUUAAAAGAAAAAAUAUUUAGAAUCGACCGUCGUCUAGCCAAAUCAUUCACUUGGUGACAAAAGAACAAUUAAUAUCGCUGGCGAACAUGUAUAAGGUGCCAGCACCCCCCACCCCACCCACUCUUCGAUGCCUGAGGCCCUCAAUAUACUCAUA